rnacentral:rRNA from 1 species
UACGGGGGGAGCAAGCGUUGUUCGGAUUUACUGGGCGUAAAGCGUGCGCAGGCGGUUCGUUAAGUUCGUUGUGAAAGCCCCGGGCUCAACCUGGGAACUGCAAUGGAAACUGGCGGGCUUGAGUGUGGCAGAGGGGGGUGGAAUUCCGCGUGUAGCAGUGAAAUGCGUAGAGAUGCGGAGGAACACCGAUGGCGAAGGCAGCCCCCUGGGCCAACACUGACGCUCAGGCACGAAAGCGUGGGGAGCAAACAGG